rnacentral:lncRNA from 1 species
UUUUUAUUUUUUUUAAAUUAGAUAGGUUAGUUAGUUAGGUUAGUUUAUUAGGUUAGUUAGUUAGGUUAGAAGAAAAAAGUAGAAAAGAAGAAGGAAAAUAAUGAAAAAAGGAAAAAAUGAAAAAGGGAAAAGGAAAAAGAAGAGGGAGAAGAAGGAAAACAAGAAGGAAAAGAAAAAGGAGAAGAAGAAGAAGAAGAAGAGGUGGAGGAGGAGGAGAAGAAAAAAGAUGAUGACGAUGAAGAAGAAGAAGAAGAAAAGGAGG